rnacentral:rRNA from 1 species
GACGAACGCUGGCGGCGUGCCUAAUACAUGCAAGUAGAACGCUGAAGGAGGAGCUUGCUUCUCUGGAUGAGUUGCGAACGGGUGAGUAACGCGUAGGUAACCUGCCUGGUAGCGGGGGAUAACUAUUGGAAACGAUAGCUAAUACCGCAUAAGAGUAGAUGUUGCAUGACAUUUGCUUAAAAGGUGCAAUUGCAUCACUACCAGAUGGACCUGCGUUGUAUUAGCUAGUUGGUGGGGUAACGGCUCACCAAGGCGACGAUACAUAGCCGGCCUGAGAGGGUGAUCGGCCACACUGGGACUGAGACACGGCCCAGACUCCUACGGGAGGCAGCAGUAGGGAAUCUUCGGCAAUGGACGGAAGUCUGACCGAGCAACGCCGCGUGAGUGAAGAAGGUUUUCGGAUCGUAAAGCUCUGUUGUAAGAGAAGAACGAGUGUGAGAGUGGAAAGUUCACACUGUGACGGUAUCUUACCAGAAAGGGACGGCUAACUACGUG